rnacentral:tRNA from 1 species
GUAGUGUUGGCAGAGUAGUGUAUUUGUUUUAGGUGCAGAAAAUGUGAGGUUUCACACACUAUA